UCGGAACGUGCCCUAGAGUGGGGGAUAACUAGUCGAAAGACUAGCUAAUACCGCAUACGAUCUAAGGAUGAAAGUGGGGGAUCGCAAGACCUCAUGCUCGUGGAGCGGCCGAUAUCUGAUUAGCUAGUUGGUAGGGUAAAAGCCUACCAAGGCAUCGAUCAGUAGCUGGUUUGAGAGAACGACCAGCCACACUGGAACUGAGACACGGUCCAG
rnacentral:rRNA from 1 species